UCUAUUCAUUCAUCUUCAUAAAGAGGAUUUAAAUAUGGAUGCAGCAUAAGAGGCAAAUGUUAUGAAUUAAGUUUGUAACAUGUCGUUUAAGGCGAUGAAGAGUUUCAAGAAAUGUUGCUUUAUUUAUGAAGAAGAGAAAGCCAUCUUUUUAGCAUUUAGGAGUUGUAACUUUUAUUUACUACUCAGUAAGCACCUAUCUGUACAGCUAAGAAAUCUCAUUAUGUGAGGCCAAGUCUGGUUUUUUUCCUUUCUGAAUGACAGAAUUUAGAAAAAGCAAAGUUCUUAGAACUUAUAGUAUCAAUCAGUGAUAGGUUUGGGGAGAUUAUAUUGAAUGGUCUAUCCGUGACCCUGUGUGAGAUAUAUAAAUUCUCAUUUCAUCAAAAUAAAUUGUAAACAAUUUAUUAGUUUCCACAAGUUAAAAUAUUCUUUAAAAUAUUUUGAUGUGGUAAUUUUAGUGUCUACAUCUGUUGCAUAGUGAAAUGUAUUAUAUAUAUCGGAACUUCAAACACUUAAAUUCUAAAAGGUGGCUAAAUAUUUCAUCCAGUAUGCAUACUGUGAAUUAUAUGCAUUUUAUGUUAAACUCAUCUAUUUAUGAAUUUAAUGCAGAUAUGAAUUACAGCUUUGCAUUACUGAUAGAAAUGCUUUUCUUGUGCCUGUCAUGAAAAAUGUAUCAUGUAUUUCCACUUAUGGUGAACAAUUAUUGACAACCAUGCCUAUCUGGGUCCAGAAUCAAAUGUGUCAGUGUAUAAACAUUCACAAAUCCAGUGCAGGGUUCCACAGCAAUGUUAAAAUGGUGAAAUUAUGUCUCAGUAUUUUCAGUUAAAUCUUGAGCAUAUCAAAUAUAGCAUUCCCAUGUGUGUAAUGCAUAUACAACAGAAGGAAAGAUUAUUUCUGUGUAGUUCCAGAAGCACUAAGGGAAAAAAGGUUUUCUUUCGCAAAGUGCCCGUUGGCACUUCGGCAAAGAGCCCACUGGCACUGUUGCAGUUUUACUCACCAACAGUUGAUCAACAUCAAGAUGUGCGGCAUAGGGUUAAAAGAUAUUAAAUCCAUGGAAUCUUGAUAGUGGCUUACACAUGAUGAAAUAUUUGACAGAUUAUAUUGGAGUACCCGACUUCAGUAUCCUUCUGCUUGGCUACUGGUGGACUUCCACUAAGAAGGAAAAAAAGACUAAGAAGGAACUAUCUCUUCCAAAGCAUAACCAAUUUUCUUUGCAAAGAUAUAUGUAUCAAACCUAUGCUUCCAAUGAAAGAAACAUAUUUUUGUCAUCAGCUUAAUUUGUCUGUUGUAAAACUUUCCAAAAUGUAAGAAGUAUAUCCUUGAGUUUACUGGCUUCAGUACAGAAAGAAUGAAAUAAAAUGAGAGACUGCAAAAUUUUGUUAAUGGUGUUUGCUCUGAAAAAACAAAAACUGUUGUAUUUUGUAAAAAUAACAAAUUUUAUUUUACCAGUAGCCAAUAGCAACAUUUUCAUAUGCAUAUUUCUAUAGAAAACUGUAACAUCUGUUGUUUUAUAAUAAAACGUCUCUAA